UGAACGCUGGCGGCAGGCCUAACACAUGCAAGUCGAGCGGAUGAAGGGAGCUUGCUCCUGGAUUCAGCGGCGGACGGGUGAGUAAUGCCUAGGAAUCUGCCUGGUAGUGGGGGACAACGUUUCGAAAGGAACGCUAAUACCGCAUACGUCCUACGGGAGAAAGCAGGGGACCUUCGGGCCUUGCGCUAUCAGAUGAGCCUAGGUCGGAUUAGCUAGUUGGUGAGGUAAUGGCUCACCAAGGCGACGAUCCGUAACUGGUCUGAGAGGAUGAUCAGUCACACUGGAACUGAGACACGGUCCAGACUCCUACGGGAGGCAGCAGUGGGGAAUAUUGGACAAUGGGCGAAAGCCUGAUCCAGCCAUGCCGCGUGUGUGAAGAAGGUCUUCGGAUUGUAAAGCACUUUAAGUUGGGAGGAAGGGUUGUAGAUUAAUACUCUGCAAUUUUGACGUUACCGACAGAAUAAGCACCGGCUAACUCUGUGCCAGCAGCCGCGGUAAUACAGAGGGUGCAAGCGUUAAUCGGAAUUACUGGGCGUAAAGCGCGCGUAGGUGGUUCGUUAAGUUGGAUGUGAAAUCCCCGGGCUCAACCUGGGAACUGCAUCCAAAACUGGCGAGCUAGAGUAUGGUAGAGGGUGGUGGAAUUUCCUGUGUAGCGGUGAAAUGCGUAGAUAUAGGAAGGAACACCAGUGGCGAAGGCGACCACCUGGACUGAUACUGACACUGAGGUGCGAAAGCGUGGGGAGCAAACAGGAUUAGAUACCCUGGUAGUCCACGCCGUAAACGAUGUCAACUAGCCGUUGGGAGCCUUGAGCUCUUAGUGGCGCAGCUAACGCAUUAAGUUGACCGCCUGGGGAGUACGGCCGCAAGGUU
rnacentral:rRNA from 1 species